CCUACGGGAGGCAGCAGUGGGGAAUAUUGCGCAAUGGGCGAAAGCCUGACGCAGCGACGCCGCGUGAGGGAUGAAGGUCUUCGGAUCGUAAACCUCUGUCAGCAGGGAAGAACGGUCACUGUGCUAAUCAGCAGUGAAUUGACGGUACCUGCAAAGGAAGCACCGGCUAAAUCCGUGCCAGCAGCCGCGGUAAUACGGAGGGUGCGAGCGUUAAUCGGAAUUACUGGGCGUAAAGCGCUCGUAGGCGGUAUGUCAAGUCAAGGGUGAAAUCCCCGCGCUCAACGUGGGAACUGCCUUUGAAACUGGCAAACUGGAGUGUGUGAGAGGAUAGUGGAAUGCCAGGUGUAGGAGUGAAAGCCGUAGAUAUCUGGAGGAAAAUCAGUGGCGAAGGCGACUAUCUGGCACAUAACUGACGCUGAGGAGCGAAAGCGUGGGUAGCAAACAGGAUUAGAUACCCUUGUAGUC
rnacentral:rRNA from 1 species